rnacentral:rRNA from 1 species
UACGUAGGGUGCAAGCGUUAAUCGGAAUUACUGGGCGUAAAGCGUGCGCAGGCGGUUGUGUAAGACAGGUGUGAAAUCCCAGGGCUUAACCUUGGAAUUGCACUUGUGACUGCACGGCUAGAGUGUGUCAGAGGGGGGUAGAAUUCCACGUGUAGCAGUGAAAUGCGUAGAGAUGUGGAGGAAUACCGAUGGCGAAGGCAGCCCCCUGGGACAAUACUGACGCUCAUGCACGAAAGCGUGGGGAGCAAACAGG